GGGGGGGGAGGGUUGAUCUUGAGCAGCUGCUGAGUCCCUGUGUUCAGUUCCUGUUGGGGAGACUUGACUUUUAUCCGUUUCAAAGUAUUUGUAGGCCAGCUAAGGGCUCACGUUAAUGGGGAUUCAGGUGGCCUCUGUUUAACUCUAAGUUACUGGCUUUUUCUUCAUGAGACCACUUUCAUAGCAUUCUUUUUUAGAGACUUUGGCAGAGUUUUAAAAUUUUUCCUUUGUGGACAGAACAAAUGUAUUUCAUGACUUUGAUGAUAUCUUCGUUCUGGGCAACAAUAAAAAAGAAAAGGUCCUAGAACCAGCUAGAAGUGAAGAGAAUCCAUUAAUAAUCAACCGCCUGAGUCAAUACUGUACUGAUGUUACAUUGGUGGCUAUUUCUUGCUCACUUUCAAAGGUCAGGGACUCUCUUGACUAAUCUAGGUUGACUGCAAAUGUUCAUUUACUAAAAAUCAUCUAGCCAGAGGUGGAGUAAAAAUCAUCUAGCCAGAGGUAGAGAUUUCUAACUUUUCCUUCCCUGACUAUUGUCUCCUAGCUAGUUAUCUUUUAAGUGUGAGACAGAGCAUUAAGAAACAACUGUACUAUACUGUAAGAAACAGGAUUGUGCAAUCCUGAAGCUCUGUUAUGUUCCUGAAUGCAAUGUGCCAUGUAGUUGAAAAUUUUAGUUUUAUUUACUAGAGGUGGUUGAAGUCGGGGGAAGGGAGCUCAUUGUCCACUGACACAAAAGAGCCAUGAGAAAUGGGAUGGCUGUGAAGUGCUCCAAAUGCUUUGGCAGAGCUCCGUGGGUCAGUCCAUCACAUGAGGAGGUGUUGAAGCCCCAGACACUGUGGGAAUUAAGACCUUGAUUGGGGAGAGACAGAACCCUUUGGAAGGCAUGUGAAGGAGGAUGGAUGGAAGCCAAAUAUGAAAUCGCUUCUUUGCAAUGACUUGACAGGGGAGUUGAGUGUUCCUAGGACACGGUGAACGUUGGUUGGCGGUGAUGCUGCAUUCACAUAGGCUGCUGAGAAACUGGAGAGAAAAAAGCAUGAGCUGCUAGGGAUAGGAAGAAAUGUGACAUUGCCAAUACCAAGGAAAGACCUCUAGUCUGUGAGCUUUGCUCUGGAGAGCAUAAACAACCUUCUUGUAGUUAGGAGAACAUCAAGGGUUAAAUGCUGGUGCCUGUGGUCAUUUCCAAAACCAAGACAGAGAAGACCUUGGAGGUCCUCCCAUAGCUCCAUAAUCCAGCCCCCCAAUUGUAGAUAGAGAAAAUGUGCAUCAGGUGGCAUGUUGAGGUGUCCCUCACUCCUUGUAACCAGAACAUCAUGUAAGUGCUGGGAGGAAGUAGGAUAUUGAAGGUGUUUCACCCUAAUCUUAAGGAAUUUCAGUAAUAAGGAGCUUAUUAUCAACUUAUAAGAUUAGAAAACGUAUGACUUAGCUGGGGAGUUGUCUUCCUUUCCUGGUUUGUUGAUGACUUGGCAUGUGUGAUGUAUAUUCCAAGAGAUCUGGUGUUUUAGACUUUUGCCAUUCACCCUGCAUUUCAGUUUCUCUCUUUGCUUAAGUGAUUAAUUUCCCCAAUGUUAACCAAUAUACCACAUGAUAGGACAAAUACGGUGAACAGGAAAACUUGCCUGUAUUUGUAUAGACAUUUUUAGUGCUAGGGCUUUUGUUGUUGUUUUAGAACUUUUCUACUGGAUUAAGAAUGUAGUUCCUGGGACAAUUUUUCUUGCAAAGCUCUUUCCUUACACCUCUUGGCUACAGGGUGGGCCAAAUUAAAUACAUAUAUAUUUUUUUCAUUUCAUGUAUGUGCAGUUUGGUUUAUCAUCUGAAGAUGGUGGUGCUGCUCAUGGUGCUACUUCAUCUGUGUACAAAAGGACCAAGCAUGAAUACAGAAACAAACUAGAGCAAGUACAACACUGUCAAUAAAAGGUCUGCGAGAAUUUAAUAGUCAUCGAGAGUUGUAAUUACCUUCCUGGUUCUAUCACAAACAACAGCAACACUCACUCUGCAUUCGUUCCAGGUUCGCCACCAGGAUUUACAUCAAUGAUCUCAGUGUAUCCUUCCAGCAACUCAGAGGUAGACUAUCAUUACCCCUGUUUCCCAGAUGUGCAAGCAGAGGAGAGAAGGGGUUUGUCUGCAGCCAAGUUUGUAUUCUCACAGACACCACUGCAAGUCUCUGAUUUCUAAGUACUUUUAAAAAAUUAUGGCCUCUACAUUAAAAACUAUCACCCCA